rnacentral:rRNA from 1 species
UACGGGGGGGGCAAGCGUUAUCCGGAAUUAUUGGGCGUAAAGAGCUCGUAGGCGGUUUGUCGCGUCUGCCGUGAAAGUCCGGGGCUCAACUCCGGAUCUGCGGUGGGUACGGGCAGACUAGAGUGAUGUAGGGGAGACUGGAAUUCCUGGUGUAGCGGUGAAAUGCGCAGAUAUCAGGAGGAACACCGAUGGCGAAGGCAGGUCUCUGGGCAUUAACUGACGCUGAGGAGCGAAAGCAUGGGGAGCGAACAGG